CACUUGUUGCCUCGGCGGAUCAGCCCGCUCCCGGUAAAACGGGACGGCCCGCCAGAGGACCCCUAAACUCUGUUUCUAUAUGUAACUUCUGAGUAAAACCAUAAAUAAAUCAAAACUUUCAACAACGGAUCUCUUGGUUCUGGCAUCGAUGAAGAACGCAGCAAAAUGCGAUAAGUAAUGUGAAUUGCAGAAUUCAGUGAAUCAUCGAAUCUUUGAACGCACAUUGCGCCCGCCAGUAUUCUGGCGGGCAUGCCUGUUCGAGCGUCAUUUCAACCCUCAAGCACAGCUUGGUGUUGGGACUCGCGUUAAUUCGCGUUCCUCAAAUUGAUUGGCGGUCACGUCGAGCUUCCAUAGCGUAGUAGUAAAACCCUCGUUACUGGUAAUCGUCGCGGCCACGCCGUUAAACCCCAACUUCUGAAUGUUGACCUCGGAUCAGGUAGGAAUACCCGCUGAACUUAAGCAUAUCAAUAGCCGGAGGAAG
rnacentral:rRNA from 1 species